rnacentral:tRNA from 1 species
GGGCGGUUAGCUCAGCUGGGAGAGCAACUGGUUUACACCCAGUAGGUCGGGGGUUCGAGCCCCUCACCGCCCACCA